GAGUAACCAUUAACAGUAACAAAAGAAAAUAUAUGAGAACCGACAAUACAUUUCUAGGGAACACAUCUGAACAUGUUGAAUUUUAAUUCCAAGAAGCUUCUAGAAUUACGGCCCACUGGUUUAGUCACUGGUUUAGUGCAAACCACGUGUCAAAGCAAGCGCCACGUGUUUAGGAAUAGGAGUAAUGGUACUAGUAGGAGACGAGUAGAUGAACAUGCGGAGCAACCUUCACACACUGGCCCCGAAUAAUUAGGCAUCUUAUCAUCAUUUCUUGCUUAUCAAGCUAACUAGGCUGAUUUGCUGGUCCCACGUGCUACCAAAUUAGACUAAUUAAUUUUUGGGAGAUUCACUAUUAUACCCAAUACAUGGGCCCAAAUUAUAAAAAUACCCUAUAUGAAAUGAACUUUAGAAACACACCCAAAACCCAUUUACAACAUAACAAAGAGGCUUUAACUUCUUAUAAAUUGCAAAACUGCCAUCAAUUUAUUAAAACAAGCCCAAACCCAAAAUUUC
rnacentral:lncRNA from 1 species